UUGGAACAGAGGCUCAUCGGAAGUUUUCUCAGCUGUCCAAGCACAGAGCCCUGGAGCCAAGGCAGCCUGAGCUGCUGCGUGCUUGCUGUGAGCCUUGAGGGCAGGACAGCGUUCAGACUGAAAGUGUGAGAAGAUGUGGAGUGAGACAGAGAAUCUGACAGGAGCACCGGACUCAGAAGUGCACGAAUUUUGCUUUUGGCUUGGAUUUAAACUCAGAAGUUGUAAGGAAUUUGGGAAGGAGAGAGGACAUUUCAGAAGGAGAAGAAGGAGAAGUUGUUGCAGUCCUGGCAAAAUCUUUUGUUCUGGCUAAUAAAAGAAGUGAGUUUAAAAAAUAAAAAAGAAAAAAAAGUG